ensembl:lncRNA
AUAUGGUUCUCAAAUUACAUCUUUAAUUAUUAUAAUUAAUUAAUUAUUAUGUAGAAAAAAGUUGUGCUACUGUUAUACUUUUUGUCAGGAUUCUUUGAUAAAUUUGACAUUCUUGCUGACUAAAAGCAUUAAUUUCUUAAAAAAAAAAAAAAAUCAUAUUGACCCCAAACUUUUGAACAAGAGUGUUCAAAAUAUAAAAUAUAAUGUGCACAAGAAUAGCAUAUUCAUCUCAUUAACCACCGUUCAUUUCUAUCAACAUAAGGCACCAGAGCCCAAGAAGGAGACUCCAGCUGCACCUCCCGUGGCAGAAGCCGCUCCAGCAGUGAAGGCCAAAGAGGAGGCGAAACCCACCGGCCCCGCACCGCAAGCGGCCCCGGACAACAAAUCAGCCGAAAGCUCAGAGAACGCCUCCCCCAACAUGCCCCGCAGGCUGGAGAAGAGGAACUCCCUUCAGCUGUUCUUCAAAAACCUGGGCCAAAAACGCCAUUCUGAUGCCGGAGUGCAAACGGACCCUGUGGCACCCGAGAAGGCCAAAUAAAACCCCACCUUUGUUUUGAUCGCUCAUCUGUGCCAAAACCAUUGGCAGCCAUGCGCAUAAGAACAUAUUUAUCAUAGUUGGGAGGUAUUAUGCUGACUUGCAAGGCCCAAAUUUGAAGUAACUAUCAAAUAAUAAUCCCCAUGCGUUUAGUGAGAGCAGAAGCAAGUGUAAUGAUGUACCCUGUUAAGCAUGUGUUUUCGACUGGAGGGAGGAACUUGUGUUGUUUUCCUGCAGAGAACCGUGUCAGAGUUGCGUGGUGUGGCAUGAGAUGGAAAAGUGAAAGUGAAAAUGUAAUCUUGCAUUUAAGAUGAACUCACUUUUCUGUGCAUGUUAAAAUGUAAAAUAUGUUAACUGUACUAACACUAUACUCGUAUCGCAUUGCAAUUCACAUGCAUUGCGCAUUAAAACCGUUGCAUUAAGAUGCCUUUUCACCGGGACAAAGCAAACAAUAUGCAUGUUUACAUGUGAAAAGAAAUUAUUUAUGUAAUCAUACACUAUCUGAUUGUGAAAACAAUGACCCGUCGUCUGCUUCUUUCAAUCACUGAAACCUACAAAGCCAGUUGAAAUUCCACUUAAAGUGCAAAACUUCUGAAUCACUUUAAUAGAUCCGUAGAAAUCAAAAUAGUUUGUUUAACAUAAUGUCAAUCAAAUUAAGCACCAUAUACCAACUUACUUGGUUAUUUAAGUUUUCAUUAAAAAAAACCUUUUUGUUUAUUAAUCAUAACUUACUAACUAAACCACAUUACAUUUAUUGUCUUUUUAUUUGCUUGGAUGUCCAGUUCUGACCAGGGGAGACUAAAAAGAAAUUAAGCUAGAUAAAUGUUUUAUUUUCUUUCUUAUUUUCUGAGCGUAUCACUUAGAGCAGUAUGAAAUACAUAUGUGGUGUACAAUUAUGCAAUAUACAAUGUACAUUCAACUCUCUGCCGCAGUCGCAUGUGUUUUAUGAGUUUCUUCAUAUUUUUCUCUACGUUUGUAAAGAGUAGAUGGGCCUAAUUCAGAAUUCAGACUAUAUCCAUGAAUCUUUCUGUAUCUCCUUUGUUGCAUUUUUGUCUAUUUAACCAAUUUAUACAAAUAAAAUAAUCAUUUCUCUCCUCUGUAAAAUGACUCAUUCUGUAUUUAAAACUAUGAAGAAAUAUAUAUAUAUAUAUAU